rnacentral:tRNA from 1 species
GGUUGUAGCUCAGUGGUAGAGCACUCACCUAGCAUGUGUGAGGCCCUGGGUUCAAUCCUCAGCACCA